rnacentral:rRNA from 1 species
UACGUAGGCAGCGAGCGUUGUUCGGAAUUACUGGGCGUAAAGAGUGUGUAGGCGGUGCUCUAAGUUCGGUGUGAAAUCUCCCGGCUCAACUGGGAGGGUGCGCCGAAAACUGGAAGGCUAGAGUGCGGGAUGGGUAAGUGGAAUUCCUGGUGUAGCGGUGAAAUGCGUAGAGAUUAGGAAGAACACCAGUGGCGAAGGCGACUUACUGGACUGUAACUGACGCUGAGGCAUGAAAGCGUGGGGAGCAAACAGG